rnacentral:tRNA from 1 species
AAGAUGCUAGUUAAUAUAUAACAAUGUCUUGUCAAGACAUAAUUGCCAUAGGUGUAUCUUU